rnacentral:misc_RNA from 1 species
GAUGAAGAACGCAGCGAAAUGCGAUACGUAAUGUGAAUUGCAGAAUUCAGUGAAUCAUCGAAUCUUUGAACGCAUAUUGCGCUCUCUGGUAUUCCGGAGAGCAUGCUUGUUUGAGUAUCAGUAAACACCUCAACUUCCAUAUCUUUUUUGAAAUGGGAGUUGGACUUGAGUGAUCCCAACGCUUUUCCUCACCGAAAAGUGGCGGGUUACUUGAAAUGCAGGUGCAGCUGGACUUUUCUCUGAGCUAUAAGCAUAUCUAUUUAGUCUGCCUAAAAAACAGAUUAUUACCUUUGCUGCAGCUAACAUAAAGGAGAUUAGUUCUUGUGCUGACUGAUGCAGGAUUCACAAAGACAGGCUUCGGCCGACUUUGUAAGCUCGAUCUCAAAUCAAGUAAGACUACCCGCUGAACUUAAGCAUAUCAAUAAGCGGAGGA